rnacentral:rRNA from 1 species
UUAUGGACCCACCUGAUCCCAUGCCGAACUCAGUAGUGAAACGUAAUAGCGCCGAUGGUAGUGUGGGGCCUCCCCAUGUGAGAGUAGGAC